rnacentral:rRNA from 2 species
AACCUGCCCAGAAGCGGGGGACAACAUUUGGAAACAGAUGCUAAUACCGCAUAACAACGUUGUUCGCAUGAACAACGCUUAAAAGAUGGCUUCUCGCUAUCACUUCUGGAUGGACCUGCGGUGCAUUAGCUUGUUGGUGGGGUAACGGCCUACCAAGGCGAUGAUGCAUAGCCGAGUUGAGAGACUGAUCGGCCACAAUGGGACUGAGACACGGCCCAUACUCCUACGGGAGGCAGCAGUAGGGAAUCUUCCACAAUGGGCGCAAGCCUGAUGGAGCAACACCGCGUGAGUGAAGAAGGGUUUCGGCUCGUAAAGCUCUGUUGUUAAAGAAGAACACGUAUGAGAGUAACUGUUCAUACGUUGACGGUAUUUAACCAGAAAGUCACGGCUAACUACGUGCCAGCAGCCGCGGUAAUACGUAGGUGGCAAGCGUUAUCCGGAUUUAUUGGGCGUAAAGAGAGUGCAGGCGGUUUUCUAAGUCUGAUGUGAAAGCCUUCGGCUUAACCGGAGAAGUGCAUCGGAAACUGGAUAACUUGAGUGCAGAAGAGGGUAGUGGAACUCCAUGUGUAGCGGUGGAAUGCGUAGAUAUAUGGAAGAACACCAGUGGCGAAGGCGGCUACCUGGUCUGCAACUGACGCUGAGACUCGAAAGCAUGGGUAGCGAACAGGAUUAGAUACCCUGGUAGUCCAUGCCGUAAACGAUGAGUGCUAGGUGUUGGAGGGUUUCCGCCCUUCAGUGCCGGAGCUAACGCAUUAAGCACUCCGCCUGGGGAGUACGACCGCAAGGUUGAAACUCAAAGGAAUUGACGGGGGCCCGCACAAGCGGUGGAGCAUGUGGUUUAAUUCGAAGCUACGCGAAGAACCUUACCAGGUCUUGACAUCUUGCGCCAACCCUAGAGAUAGGGCGUUUCCUUCGGGAACGCAAUGACAGGUGGUGCAUGGUCGUCGUCAGCUCGUGUCGUGAGAUGUUGGGUUAAGUCCCGCAACGAGCGCAACCCUUGUUACUAGUUGCCAGCAUUAAGUUGGGCACUCUAGUGAGACUGCCGGUGACAAACCGGAGGAAGGUGGGGACGACGUCAGAUCAUCAUGCCCCUUAUGACCUGGGCUACACACGUGCUACAAUGGACGGUACAACGAGUCGCGAACUCGCGAGGGCAAGCAAAUCUCUUAAAACCGUUCUCAGUUCGGACUGCAGGCUGCAACUCGCCUGCACGAAGUCGGAAUCGCUAGUAAUCGCGGAUCAGCAUGCCGCGGUGAAUACGUUCCCGGGCCUUGUACAU